rnacentral:rRNA from 1 species
CCUANGGGUGGCAGCAGUGAGGAAUUUUGCGCAAUGGGGGAAACCCUGACGCAGCAACGCCGCGUGAGUGAAGAAGGCUUUCGGGUCGUAAAGCUCUGUCAAGAGGGAAGAAAGUGGGAGAUGGUAAUACUGUUUUCUAUUGACGGUACCUCUGAAGGAAGCACCGGCUAACUCCGUGCCAGCAGCCGCGGUAAUACGGGGGGUGCAAGCGUUAUUCGGAUUUAUUGGGCGUAAAGAGCGCGUAGGCGGUUUAUCAAGUCAGAUGUGAAACCCCUCGGCUUAACCGGGGACCUGCAUUUGAUACUUCAAGUCUUGAGUACGGAAGAGGAGAGCGGAAUUCCUGGUGUAGCGGUGAAAUGCGUAGAUAUCAGGAAGAACACCGGUGGCGAAGGCGGCUCUCUGGUCCGAUACUGACGCUGAAGCGCGAAAGUGCGGGGAGCGAACAGGAUUAGAUACCCUANUANUC